CAACUUGUGUGGAUUUUUACUGAUUGAU
rnacentral:rRNA from 1 species